UGGAGAGUUUGAUCCUGGCUCAGGAUGAACGCUAGCGGCAGGCCUAAUACAUGCAAGUCGAACGGUGUAGCAAUACACAGUGGCGCACGGGUGCGUAACACGUAUGCAACCUACCUAUCAUUGGGGGAUAGCCUUUGGAAACGGAGAUUAAUACCGCAUAAGACAGUAACAUGGCAUCAUGUAGCUGUUAAAGCUUYGGCGAUGAUAGAUGGGCAUGCGUCCAAUUAGUUAGUUGGUGAGGUAACGGCUCACCAAGACGAUGAUUGGUAGGGGAUCUGAGAGGAUAAUCCCCCACACUGGCACUGAGAUACGGGCCAGACUCCUACGGGAGGCAGCAGUAGGGAAUAUUGGGCAAUGGRCGGAAGYCUGACCCAGCCAUGCCGCGUGCAGGAUGAAGGCGUUAUGCGUUGUAAACUGCUUUUUUAUAGGAAGAAGGAGACCUUGCGAGGUUUGGUGACGGUACUAUAAGAAUAAGCACCGGCUAACUCCGUGCCAGCAGCCGCGGUA
rnacentral:rRNA from 1 species